AUUGAACGCUGGCGGCAGGCCUAACACAUGCAAGUCGAGCGGAUGAAGAGAGCUUGCUCUCUGAUUUAGCGGCGGACGGGUGAGUAAUGCCUAGGAAUCUGCCUGGUAGUGGGGGAUAACGUUCCGAAAGGAACGCUAAUACCGCAUACGUCCUACGGGAGAAAGCAGGGGACCUUCGGGCCUCGCGCUAUCAGAUGAGCCUAGGUCGGAUUAGCUAGUUGGUGAGGUAAUGGCCCACCAAGGCUACGAUCCGUAACUGGUCUGAGAGGAUGAUCAGUCACACUGGAACUGAGACACGGUCCAGACUCCUACGGGAGGCAGCAGUGGGGAAUAUUGGACGAUGGGCGAAAGCCUGAUCCAGCCAUGCCGCGUGUGUGAAGAAGGUCUUCGGAUUGUAAAGCACUUUAAGUUGGGAGGAAGGGCAGUAAGUUAAUACCUUGCUGUUUUGACGUUACCGACAGAAUAAGCACCGGCUAACUUCGUGCCAGCCGCCGCGGUAAGAC
rnacentral:rRNA from 1 species